rnacentral:lncRNA from 1 species
UCGAAUUUUAAAACCAUGGUUUUCUAACUCUAUUAUGUUUAGAUUAUUCUAUUUAGUUAAAUUUUGAUUAUGCCUAAUCUAAUUAAGAUAUUUCUAGUCUUAAUAUAUUUGAAUUUCUAGUUAUAUUAGAAUUUAGCCACUAUUAUAAAUGUAUUUUUAUUCUAUUAAUUUAGUACAGCAGAUGAGAGAAAGUAUAAGUUUUUGUAAGAGGCAUAUUUUAUACAUUAUUUCGAUUAUAAUGAAAAUUUUUGCUCCGUCUUCGUAUGUGAACGUAGGCCUACGAUUGAAUUACGUAAAUAUUGUGUUCUUUAUUUUUCUCUUCUCUUGCUCUAUUCUCUUUUAAUAUUUUUACACCCGACGAACUAAAUCUUUUCUUCUUUUAUCGCAACAAUUUUCAAUCAUGGAGCUCUUAUA